AUUGAACGCUGGCGGCAGGCCUAACACAUGCAAGUCGAACGGUAACAGGAAGCAGCUUGCUGCUUCGCUGACGAGUGGCGGACGGGUGAGUAAUGUCUGGGAAGCUGCCUGAUGGGGGGGGAUAACUACUGGAAACGGUAGCUAAUACCGCAUAAUGUCGCAGGACCAAAGAGGGGGACCUUCGGGCCUCUUGCCAUCGGAUGUGCCCGGAUGGGAUUAGCUUGUUGGUGGGGUAACGGCUCACCAAGGCGACGAUCCCUAGCUGGUCUGAGAGGAUGACCAGCCACACUGGAACUGAGACACGGUCCAGACUCCUACGGGAGGCAGCAGUGGGGAAUAUUGCACAAUGGGCGCAAGCCUGAUGCAGCCAUGCCGCGUGUAUGAAGAAGGCCUUCGGGUUGUAAAGUACUUUCAGCGGGGAGGAAGGGAGUAAAGUUAAUACCUUUGCUCAUUGACGUUACCCGCAGAAGAAGCACCGGCUAACUCCGUG
rnacentral:rRNA from 1 species